rnacentral:rRNA from 1 species
UACGUAGGGGGCAAGCGUUGUCCGGAUUUACUGGGCGUAAAGAGCGCGCAGGCGGCUAUACCGUAAGUCGGCUGUGAAAGCCUCGGGCUCAACCCGGGGAGGUCGGUCGAUACUGCGGGGCUUGGAAGGCGGUAGGGGGAGAUGGAAUUCCCGGUGUAGUGGUGAAAUGCGUAGAUAUCGGGAGGAACACCGAUGGCGAAAGCGAUCUCCUGGGCCGCCCUUGACGCUGAGGCGCGAAAGCGUGGGGAGCGAACUGA